rnacentral:rRNA from 1 species
AUGCAUCGUCGGUUUCUGAACGUGAUAGCGCAGGACCUGAAGAACACCCGCGUCAACUCGCUCUACCUCAUCGACCCCUGGAAGCACCUCUUCCACCAGCCAUCAACAUCAGAUAAAACUAAAAGAGAAGCAGCAAAAGACGCACAACCGGCGAAGGAAAACCGAGGAGCGUCGAUGAGUCGCCUGAGGUUGCAUAAGCCCAAGUUCAGGUUCGAACCUAAUCUCCACGCCAAGCCGACGCAUUCCUUCUCGGCUCUGCUGAGAGAGAACAGCCUCCUGCUGGCGGCCAAUACCAACAGCCCAUUCCUCUACGACGUCGACCUCAACUCGGUCCAACCCAUUCACCCCAUGCAUCCUCUCAGGGGCGCCAACUGCGUCUGCUUCCCCGCGCCACCCCAAGCCGACCACGGCGGUCACCGGCCGUCACUACUUGGGCUGUCGACCCUGCCUCUAUGUCCUCGACCUGUCGCCGCCGUCGGUUUCUCUUUCGAGCCGAUGAUGAUGAUGCAUGUGGAAGAACGAAGAAGAGCCGUCGACGUCGACAUCGACAUCGACACGUGUUCCUCCAUGAUCGUCGAUGGCACGACCAUAUGCAUAUCCUUCGACGGCGUCGGCACCUACGCCUUCGACACGGCGACGGGGGUAUGGACUCGUGCCGGCGACUGGGCGCUGCCCUUCCACGGCAGAGCGGAGCAUGUUCCCGAGCUGGGCCUCUCUUUCGCUCUAUCGGCUGACAGCCCCCACCGCCUGUGUGCUCUGGACUGCACUACGAUGCGCUCUGCCCAUGGCGGGCCGCUUGCAUUGCGGCAUACUUUUGAUCGUCUCGACCUGCCGGAGGAGAAGUGGUCACCGUACAAGCGCCAACUGGUGAGCCUGGGCGCAGGCAGCUUUUGCAUCGUUUCCUUCUGUAAGGCCAUGAAGCGCGAGUUCGUCGUCCUCACCGGCGUGGAGGUGAAGCCCUGCAACAAUGGUGAUGGCCCUCUCCGGAUGAUCAAGCACCUGUCUAAACGCUGCAGCCUUGGGUCUCAUAGGAUCAACUGGCCGUUCUAUAAAAGCCAUUCUUGUGUUCCUUUGAUACACACAGAGGUUGCAGAGCGCGCAGACAGAGAUCGAGCAAACAUGAAGAACACACCAACCAUCUUCACCCUCGCCGUCUCUCUCGGGGCAAUCGCCCUGCUUUCCGGCAGCACCGACGCCACCACAUGCGCCGGCGACCCGUCCAUGUCCGUUGCCGACGCGUGCCACAAGACGAGCGCCUGGCAGGGCCAGCGCGAGCUGGAGCUCUGCCGGCAGACGCUGCGCGGCGCACGGGACGGCCUCACGGCCAGCGCCUACGGCAUCAUCGCCGUGAGGGCCGCCCUUGAGUCGUCCGAGGCCACCGAGGGCGCCGGCAAGAAGCUGGCGCAGGACCCGAAGAUCUCCGAGGACGUGCGGGCGGUGUACCAAACCUGCGUGGACAUGUACGGCUUCGCGCGCGCCGACGUCGCCGCCAUGGAAGGCGCGCUGAAGGCCUGCUCGCUCGCCGACUUCCGGCGCUUCUGGGAGGGCGCACUCGCCUCGGUGGAUUACUGCGCGCGGAAGCUGCGGCUCGUCGACGGCGACGUGCUCCGCCGCACGGUGGAGGCGGACAGGGAGAGGAUCUUGCUCGCUUUCAUCCUGGGAGGGCUUUCUUUUCCGAAAUGA